UUUUUCUUUUGUUUUAGAAAAAUCUGCACAUCAUCAUUUUGGUCGGAUCAAAUUGGUUUCACAAGGAAAAUAAUAUUUUUUUGACAGGAAAUAUUUCAGUACGAGGACAAAUGAAUGAUUGAUGCUCUGCAAUCACAAUCAACCUGGAUUAAGGGCACGAUAUUUUAAACGCAAAACAUCAGGGUAAUCUAGUUGGGCGAUAAGACACUUUUAUAUUUAUAAAUGCUCAUAAUGCAACGCGAUUGGGUGACUGGAUAUGAC
rnacentral:lncRNA from 1 species